GACCAUGACGGCGACGACGACAGCCCCGGUUCCCGCCGAGCGAGAUUUCAUAUUCAGAGCACCCAUCACAAUAAGCAAACCUGGAGAACUUCACGAGGAAUAUAAAAGUCAGCUGCGGAAGUGGAGGGGUGACCGAGGGCAAGAAGAGAGACCCGCUGAGGAUUGUAUUCACAAGCUGAUUGUAGAGGAGAGUGACGCUGGGAGGAAGAAGACAGAAGAUCUGGAGUCCUUAACUGUCAAAAUGACCCAAGAACAUUUUCCAGAACGCCUCUCUGAUUCUGAGAACGAGGAACCGUUCCACGGCAAAUCUGCCCACCGGUCAGCGUUUGUCUCCAAAGGAAACUCCUACUCUGUGGCAUUGCUGGCAGGAAACCUAACGGCUAAAGUAGAAAGGAGCCAGAGUUGCAAUGAUACCCUCGGGGAGAGAUCGAAGAGCCGGCAGAGAGCAGCGUCAGUCAGAGCAAAGGUCCACCCACUAACCGGUGGAUCAGCCCCUCUUCUCGGAGUUCUGUCAUCCACGCAGAACAAUCGCUGCCUUUCGGCCCCAGACCUGACGGCGGACAAGCGCUUUGUUCUCCCCGGCGCUGCUUCCUUUUCUCUCCUCCCAAAGCCUGAGCGGUCCGUUAGCCCCGAGAGCAACGACAGUAUCUCGGAAGAGCUCAACCACUUCAAACCCAUUGUGUGCUCCCCGUGCACACCUCCCAAGCGGCUUCCCGACGGCCGGGUUUUGAGCCCUUUAAUUAUCAAGUCUACUCCGCGGAAUCUGACCAGGAGUCUGCAGAAGCCGACCACCUACGAAGCAAGCCCUCGGAUUCUGAAAAAAUGGGAGCAGAUCUUCCAGGAUCGCCAGAUGAAAAAGACUCUCUCUAAAGCCACUCUGACCUCCAUGGCCUCAGAGGCAGGAGAGGAUUUCCUGGCCCCGAGUGCAAAUUUGCUCAUCAAAGAGUCUCUGCCAGUUUCCCAGAGCGUGCCACCCAUAGAUCCCCGUGCGCACACCCAGGCUGAGUUAGAGUGUUUCCCUUCCAUCUGUGUAGCAAAACUCGAAAACUCUUGCAAGGCCCGGAGAGGCUCAGCAGUGACGGUCGCUGGCCCUCCGGCCCCUUUGGUGAAACUGAACAAGGACGCCUUGAACGCCAGAACCUCGCAGAUCUCUGAUGCAAAAUCAGUUCUCCACGGGGCUGGCUCUUGUCUCAGCCUUGAUGCCAACCUGGUGAUCCCGAAAGCCGCGAGAGCCGGCACCGGAUUUCCAGACAGGAGUAUCCUGGGCCCCUCUGUCAAGGCCACGGGAAGGAAGCCGCUGAAACGCCCGAGGGACCGCUUCCCAAAUGGCAUCUGUCUUGAGAAGGCCACGGGCGAGGACUCCUCCUCCUCCUCUCUGCGGUGGGGGCGAAAGAGACAGUGCAAAAGGAAGCACCUGGAGCAGGUCGGCUCGGUCAAGCGGCUGAGGCAGGCGGCCGAACCCCCGAGGAGGAAGAGCGAGGCGGAACGGAAGCUGCAGCAGGAGGAGGAGGACCGGAGGCUGGCCUUGGAGCUCCAGCGGAAAUUUGACAGCGAGAACAGGACCGUGAUGAGGCGGAAGGCGCGGGGGGAUCACUAUUUCUUGCGGUCAAAGAGCACUCUAAGUACCAGUAGCGCUUAGGGGGAACCAGGUUUGCCUUGUCUAGCGAAUGUGAAGCGGUCCGAAGGCAUCCGAGAGGGAAGCCAAGCUGGCACGUGACCCUCCGUUCUCACCUGCCCUGCCUGCCUUUCUCUUAGGUGGUCAGAGGAUUGUAAGUCUGGUUCUGGUUGGAGCCAGGCGGGGGUCUUUGCACACACGGCAGCCGCCACACUUGAUCCUUCUGGUCAGAUCUGCUUCUGAGGUUAUGAAUUUCACUGGCAGGACAGGAUCGGUCGUUUGCUCUGAUCAGGAGGGCAUCAGGAGAAUGGCGGUUGCAGGAUGGGUCCCUUUGUAGCUGCCAUUUUUGCAACUUUGGGUGAGUCCCGAUAGGUAUUCAAAAUGCACAGUAUAUUAAUUACUGAGCCUUUGAAAAUACUGAGCCCAAACGAGAGAUGCAUUUGCCCGAGAGAACGUAGUAUAUGGCUGUAGGCACGGCAGUCCAGCGGCCUUUCUUAUGCCAGGGCCCCACCUGUUGGUCCCACGGAGGUGUCGGUUAGAGGAUUGUGUUUUAAAUGGAUAGAUGGCACGUGGAGAUUCUGGAAAAGGUCACUAGGUAGACAGCCUGCUAGGUAGAAGCACAGGGCAACCUUUGCUGGUGCAGCAGGAGAGACGGCACCUGAUUAUCUCCGGCCAGAAGGUUCUUCCUUCGCUUGGUCCAAUCCUGGGCCAUGUUCAGGGAGCCAGAUGGUCCUGGCGGGGUGGGGGUGGGGGGGACACACAGCAGUGAGAGCAAAUCCCAGUGUUAUGGGUAUGUGGAUGUGAUGGCCAGGGAGCAGCAUUGGUUUGCAACACUGCAGUGCUGAUUUCCACUGCCUCUCCCCCCCGCCGCCCCCCAAAAUACAGAUUCCAUACAAUGCCUGAUUCUUAAGUCACUUUUGAAUCCGGAAUAGAAGGUUUGAAUAGAAGAUUAGUCACCGGGUAACUCCUUGCAUAUGGCUCCCUAAAUACACUGGGGAGUGGCAGUGUGGGAGCAACGCCUUCGGGGGGUUCUUAAAAGUCCUGAUGAACUGAAAGUGGCAUGCUAGUUCCCUAUUCUGGAGGCCUCUGUCUAUGUUACCAUUAACGUUCUGGGAGGUGGUGGAAGACAUUGGAAAGAAAUUGAAGUAUUUAGUCUAAACCCAGCGCUAAAGGGAGACAACCGUGGUGGAUUUAGGGCCACAGAAUCUCUGCUUGCAGGCAGAGAAUCUCUAAAAUUCAGCUGCACUUCGGCGGGGGAGGUGUGUGUCACGUGUAGAACCAGCUUUCUUUUGAAACUGGUGGGUUUUGGCCUGAGACCUCCAAGGCUGCCCUUCUCAAGGCCUCCCACUCGUGUCUUGUAUUUUAAUCCUCUUGCCUGCCACCAAGAAAAAGCUUAGCCUGAUUCUUUCAUUCUUGUUCUGCCCGGAGGCAGGAUCCUAGCAGCUUCUUCCCCUCAGCUGUUUGCUUGAAAGUUGGAGCUUUUAAUCUUCUGCCCUCAAGGUAGGGUCGGCUCCAACAGGCUCGGAUCGGAUGCCGGACAGAAAAAAAACAACAACACAAGCUUUCCUCUGUUUGCACCGCUUUUACCUGGAAAGGAGGUUUCUCAGGAGGUGGUCAGCAGAGCUCAUUUCCUGGUGCAGAAUUCAAACAGAAAGCCUUCACCUGGCCUCGAAUUGCCGUGUUUGAAACACCGCCCGGCAACGUGUCUCUCUCCAGAAGUUCUGGGACUCCAGUUCCCAUCAGCUCUACCCAACCUAGCCAGUGGGGGAGGGAUUAGGAGUUGCAGGCCAGCAACUGCUGGAGGGCUUCAGGUUGCCCACCCCGGUUUAUAGGGAUCCUGGUGAAGCACGUCAGUUCAUUGGGUCAGCCUCAGGGCACGGUCGGUGGGUGCUGCUAAAAUGAAAUACUAGAUGGGGAAAGAGAGAAGACGUUUUCAUUCAUGUCAAGCCAGGUUGAUGCCAUACAAGGGGAUGUGGAAGAGCAUCUUAAGAGCAGAUCUGAAGCUUCGCAGAAUUUUGGAAACAAAACUCUAUUCCCAUGGCCAUAAACUGUUUUUCCCCCCAGGAUAUCUUAUGAAAAGAGCUGGCAUCUGUGGCUGCCCUUUAAACCGUUGCCCCCGAGAAAGGAGUGGCCGGCCACCCUGCAUGAAUGGCCUGGAUCCAGAGACCGGCGCUAGUUGUUCCCAGGGCCUGAGGAGCAGCCACCUGUCGGUCUCCUCAAUUUCCACGGGAAAGCCAGGCUCGGGCCGCCCCAUCGCAAACGUCUUGUGAAGCCAGAUCCAGGGGAGGUUUGCCCGCUCACUUAGGGGGGAGGCCAGGGACCCGGCUGUUUGAGGAAGGAGGCUAGGCUUCCUGUGAUCGCCUGCGGAUGGAAGAGGAGCCUGUGUUGGUUGAAAAUACAGAUGGCUCGAGGGUGCCAUAAGUCAGCAAACAAAGGAGCGCUGGUUUGGGCACAGCCCAGGGACCAAAGUCGACAUUGUCACCGUGAGAAAGCUGGUGUUGAGUCAAGGGAAGCCUUUGGGGUCCCUCUCGCCUUGCGCCUGUGGGAAGCAAGCAGGCUCUCCUGCAGGCGUGUAAGCUCCCAAAAAAAGAGGAUCCAGGAGACCCCCAUGGGGGGCACCAAGCCUCUUGCUUUCUCUCAACAGGUCUUUCACAAGGACAGCUCAGCGUUGCAUGUUUUUAAAAGUCUAUCUGGUUUUGGUGGCUGCUGACUAGUCCUGAUGCCAAACACAUAGAGACUGUCAGGCAUAAGAACUGUUGUGUGAUCCUCUCCUGAGCGGGCUAGCAGCUGAAUGUAUUCCGGGGACUCCUUUUAGUCUCUCUGUAGGAGGAUGAAACUAAAUUCUUUUUUAAAACGAUAAAGUUGUUCAUUGCAGGUUAUGGGUUUUCGAAGGAUCCAAGUGGUUUGGCUUAAAAGUUGCAAAACUUGACUGCCACCUAGUAGCCAAAAAAAGGCCUUUGCCAGGUCUGUUCUCAGCUGAACCUUUUCCCAGGGGCUGCUUAAAUAGGGCGGGAGCCUCUGAAACUCACCUGUGCUUUCUCUACUUUUUGAAGAGAGCAGAAGCUGGUUCUUAACUCACUGAGGUCAGGAGGAGUCUCGCCACCCAUAGAACUAAAUGCUAUCUUUCUGCAUCUCAGCUUUUGUCUCUGUAAAACUUGAUUUUCUUUUCCAAAUACAGUUCUGUUUGUAGCCCAGUUGGCUAUGGCUAACGGGCUGCCCCACUUUACGGCACAGCCCUGCUGCCUUAUGGUGGGGCUACGAAAGAGGGUACUUGGACAGUGAAUGAAGGGCGAGUGGGGAUUUUGACAGUCAGUGAAUGAAUGCCUGCAGCCACCAAAGAGGACAGUCCAACUUCGUAAACCCACUCAAGACCUGGGAGAUCGUUUUACGGAAACGUCACAUUCUCCAUGUUCGUUGUAGAUCCGUUGAUGUUGGACAUGAGAAACGAAGGGAAAAGUGCCAAAAAGUUGGAUUCUGGUUAUAUGAUUGUAUUGCAUUUUUAUUCCGUGCCCAGCAGUGUUCUUUCUCGUCUGAGACUUUGCACGUCAUGUCAUGGAGGGGACCGUUCAAGUAAGCACUUUUGAGUCGUGCUCUCGGUGAAAACAGAAGGAGAGGAAAGCCUUAAAAGACUCUACGAUGCAUUUAUAUAAAAAAACAGAAUUGGCCCGGGAGCGUUGCUGCAUCCACCGUCCGCACCCUUUCCUGUUGGGACUCCGGGCAGCUUGGUUCCUUUUCCAUUGGGCCAAGUGGACGAUGCGCUCUUCGGGAAAAUGCGGUCAAAGCGUGGUUUCCAUUCUUAGGGCGCUGGGGGCAGCUUUCCUCGCCCGGGGUUUGAAUGUGGGUGUGAAUGUCUUGUCGAAACACAAGGCUGGUCUGUCAAGUCUCUUCUGCUGAACCUCCCGAAGGGGGUCAGAACUGCACUAGGAUCAACUGAACCGGCGCACUCACCUUUUUGAAUGUUGUAUUCUAGGCGUCCAACGGGAAACACGGCUCUUUCUCCAGCUAUUUUAAAAACACUGCUAGCAGGUGUAGAAUUAGCUAUUCACUAUGCAAACAAAGGAACCAAGAACAACAAAACGGACCACCUUUUGGUUGUAACUGGUGGACUUUUCUUGUAUGCCUGGUUUUUCUGGUGUUUUACUGUCUGUUACAAGGAAAAAUGUACCUUACUGUGUUCUCCUCUCACCUCUUCCAACUCCCAGCCCCCCCCUCCCAGGUAGGCUUUAAAUCAUUUUGUGCUUUGACGUGUAUUCUCGGCUUAGUACUUGAAAGCCAGUCCAAGACAAAACAUCAUUUUCAAGGUUGCAACUGAAUCACUGUGGCUUCAUUGAUAUUUUGAUAAAACAGAUCCGUUUAUUGAGA